GGGGGCCUAGUAAAUAUAUUACAUGACCUUGUCAUGGCCAAAUAACAGAAACCUGUGACCCCUG
rnacentral:tRNA from 1 species